rnacentral:rRNA from 1 species
CGCGCAGGCGGUUUUUUAAGUCGGAUGUGAAAGCCCGGGGCUCAACCCCGGAAGUGCAUUCGAAACUGGAUAACUUGAGUAUGGGAGAGGGAAGUGGAAUUCCUGGUGUAGAGGUGAAAUUCGUAGAUAUCAGGAGGAACACCGGUGGCGAAGGCGACUUCCUGGACCAAUACUGACGCUCAUUCGCGAAGGCGUGGGGAGCAAACAGGAUUAGAUACCCUGGUAGUCC